GGGAAGUUGGCUCAGUGGUAGAGUGCUUGCCUUGCAUGCAUGAGGCCCUGGGUCUUCCUC
rnacentral:tRNA from 1 species